rfam:Loxodonta africana unplaced genomic scaffold scaffold_75, whole genome shotgun sequence.
CUUGUGCACUUUUGCAGUUCUCAGCUCCCUGGGGCCUCAACUCCUUAUCCAUCUGUGCUGUGCCUCUGUAUCAGGGUCGGGGUCCUGGCCCUCGACUUCAAGGCCCU